rnacentral:rRNA from 1 species
UGCGUAGGCGGUUCGUCGCGUCCGGUGUGAAAGUCCAUCGCUUAACGGUGGAUCCGCGCCGGGUACGGGCGGGCUUGAGUGUGGUAGGGGAGACUGGAAUUCCCGGUGUAACGGUGGAAUGUGUAGAUAUCGGGAAGAACACCAAUGGCGAAGGCAGGUCUCUGGGCCGUUACUGACGCUGAGGAGCGAAAGCGUGGGGAGCGAACA